rnacentral:rRNA from 1 species
GACAGAGGUGCCGAGCGUUAGGCGGAAUCACUGGGCUUAAAGCGUGUGUAGGCGGCGGCGUAAGUACCUUGUGAAAUCCCACGGCUCACCCGUGGAACUGCUGGGCAUACUGGCGAUCUUGGGCCAACUAGGGGCAGCCGGAACAAGCGGUGGAGCGGUGAAAUGCGUAGAUAUCGCUUGGAACGCCGAAGGUGAAAACAGGCUGCUGGGGUUGUGCCGACGCUGAGACACGAAAGCCAGGGGAGCAAACGGG